rnacentral:SRP_RNA from 1 species
GCCAGGUGCAGUGACACAUGCCUGUAGUCCCAGCUACUCGGGAGGCUGAGGUGGGAGGAUUGCUUGAGCCCAGGAGUUCUGGGCUGUAGUGCACUAUGCCAAUCGGGUGUCCGCACUAAGUUCUGCAUCAAUAUGGUGACCUCUCGGGAGCAGGCGACCACCAGGUUGCCUAAGGAGGGGUGAACUGGCCCAGGUCGGAAACGGUGCAGGUCAAAACUCCUGUGCUGAUCAGUAGUGGGAUCGCACCUGUAAACAGCCACUGCACUCCAGCCUGGGCAACAGAGUGAGACCCUGUCUCU